GACGAACGCUGGCGGCGUGCCUAAUACAUGCAAGUCGAACGCACAGUUUAUACCGUAGCUUGCUACACCAUAGACUGUGAGUUGCGAACGGGUGAGUAACGCGUAGGUAACCUGCCUGGUAGCGGGGGAUAACUAUUGGAAACGAUAGCUAAUACCGCAUAAUAUUGAUUAUUGCAUGAUAAUUGAUUGAAAGAUGCUAUUGCAUCACUACCAGAUGGACCUGCGUUGUAUUAGCUAGUAGGUGAGGUAACGGCUCACCUAGGCGACGAUACAUAGCCGACCUGAGAGGGUGAUCGGCCACACUGGGACUGAGACACGGCCCAGACUCCUACGGGAGGCAGCAGUAGGGAAUCUUCGGCAAUGGACGAAAGUCUGACCGAGCAACGCCGCGUGAGUGAAGAAGGUUUUCGGAUCGUAAAGCUCUGUUGUAAGAGAAGAACGGGUGUGAGAGUGGAAAGUUCACACUGUGACGGUAUCUUACCAGAAAGGGACGGCUAACUACGUG
rnacentral:rRNA from 1 species